rnacentral:rRNA from 1 species
AUCGAUGAAGAACGCAGCGAAAUGCGAUAAGUAAUGUGAAUUGCAGAAUUCAGUGAAUCAUCGAAUCUUUGAACGCACAUUGCGCCCCUUGGUAUUCCGGGGGGCAUGCCUGUUCGAGCGUCAUUUCAACCCUCAAGCCUAGCUUGGUCUUGGGCUCUGCCGGCAACGGCUUGCCUUAAAAUCAGUGGCGGUGCCAUCGAGCUCUACGCGUAGUAAUUAUACCCUCGCUUCUGAGUCUCGGCGGUCGCUUGCCAGCAACCCCCAAUUUUCUAUGGUUGACCUCGGAUCAGGUAGGGAUACCCGCUGAACUUAAGCAUAUCAAUAAGCGGAGGAAAAGAAACCAACAGGGAUUACCUCAGUAACGGCGAGUGAAGCGGUAACAGCUCAAAUUUGAAAUCUGGCUCUUUCAGGGUCCGAGUUGUAAUUUGUAGAAGAUGCUUCGGGUGUGGCUCCGGUCUAAGUUCCUUGGAACAGGACGUCAUAGAGGGUGAGAAUCCCGUAUGUGACUGGCUGCCUCCGCCCAUGUGAAGCUCUUUCGACGAGUCGAGUUGUUUGGGAAUGCAGCUCAAAAUGGGUGGUAAAUUUCAUCUAAAGCUAAAUAUUGGCCAGAGACCGAUAGCGCACAAGUAGAGUGAUCGAAAGAUGAAAAGCACUUUGGAAAGAGAGUUAAACAGUACGUGAAAUUGUUGAAAGGGAAGCGCUUGCAAUCAGACUUGCACGCUGCCGAUCAUCUGGGGUUCUCUCCAGUGCACUCGGUUGCGUUCAGGCCAGCAUCGGUUUGGGUGGUUGGAUAAAGGCCUUGGGAAUGUAGCUUCUUUCGGGGAGUGUUAUAGCCCUCGGUGCAAUGCAGCCUAUCCGGACCGAGGACCGCGCUUCGGCUAGGAUGCUGGCGUAAUGGUUGUAAGCGACCCGUCUUGAAACACGG